rnacentral:rRNA from 1 species
GACGAACGCUGGCGGCGUGCUUAACACAUGCAAGUCGAACGAUGAAGCCUAGCUUGCUAGGUGGAUUAGUGGCGAACGGGUGAGUAAUACGUGAGUGACCUACCUUUGACUCUGGGAUAAGCCUGGGAAACUGGGUCUAAUACCGGAUACGACCAAUCUCUGCAUGGGGUGUUGGUGGAAAGCGUUAUGGAGUGGUUUUAGAUGGGCUCACGGCCUAUCAGCUUGUUGGUGAGGUAAUGGCUUACCAAGGCGACGACGGGUAGCCGGCCUGAGAGGGUGACCGGCCACACUGGGACUGAGACACGGCCCAGACUCCUACGGGAGGCAGCAGUGGGGAAUAUUGCACAAUGGGCGCAAGCCUGAUGCAGCGACGCCGCGUGAGGGAUGACGGCCUUCGGGUUGUAAACCUCUGUUAGCAUCGAAGAAGCGAAAGUGACG